rnacentral:rRNA from 1 species
AUUGAACGCUGGCGGCAGGCCUAACACAUGCAAGUCGAGCGGAUGAAGGGAGCUUGCUCCUGGAUUCAGCGGCGGACGGGUGAGUAAUGCCUAGGAAUCUGCCUGGUAGUGGGGGAUAACGUCCGGAAACGGGCGCUAAUACCGCAUCCGUCCUGAGGGAGAAAGUGGGGGAUCUUCGGACCUCACGCUAUCAGAUGAGCCUAGGGCGGAUUCGCUAGUUGGUGGGGUAAAGGCCUACCAAGGCGACGAUCCGUAACUGGUCUGAGAGGAUGAUCAGUCACACUGGAACUGAGACACGGUCCAGACUCCUACGGGAGGCAGCAGUGGGGAAUAUUGGACAAUGGGCGAAAGCCUGAUCCAGCCAUGCCGCGUGUGUGAAGAAGGUCUUCGGAUUGUAAAGCACUUUAAGUUGGGAGGAAGGGCAGUAAGUUAAUACCUUGCUGUUUUGACGUUACCAACAGAAUAAGCACCGGCUAACUUCGUG